AGAGUUUGAUCAUGGCUCAGAGUGAACGCUGGCGGCGUGCUUAACACAUGCAAGUCGAACGAGAACGGAUUAUAGCUUGCUAUAAUUGUCAGCUAAGUGGCGCACGGGUGAGUAAUGUAUAGAUAACCUGCCCUUAAGAAAGGAAUAACAGUUGGAAACGACUGCUAAUGCCCUAUAUGCCUUUAAUACAUAAGUAUGCAAGGGAAACGCUUUAGUGCUUAAGGAUGGGUCUGUAUGGUAUCAGCUUGUUGGUGAGGUAAUGGCUCACCAAGGCUAUGACGCCUAACUGGUUUGAGAGGAUGAUCAGUCACACUGGAACUGAGACACGGUCCAGACUCCUACGGGAGGCAGCAGUGGGGAAUAUUGCACAAUGGACGAAAGUCUGAUGCAGCAACGCCGCGUGGAGGAUGACACAUUUCGGUGCGUAAACUCCUUUUAUAUAGGAAGAUAAUGACGGUACUAUAUGAAUAAGCACCGGCUAACUCCGUGCCAGCAGCCGCGGUAAUACGGAGGGUGCAAGCGUUACUCGGAAUCACUGGGCGUAAAGAGCGUGUAGGCGGGUAUAUAAGUCAGAAGUGAAAUCCAAUAGCUCAACUAUUGAACUGCUUUUGAAACUGUAUACCUAGAAUGUGGGAGAGGUAGAUGGAAUUUCUGGUGUAGGGGUAAAAUCCGUAGAGAUCAGAAGGAAUACCGAUUGCGAAGGCGAUCUACUGGAACAUUAUUGACGCUGAGACGCGAAAGCGUGGGGAGCAAACAGGAUUAGAUACCCUGGUAGUC
rnacentral:rRNA from 1 species